GUGGAUUGCCGGUAUUGCAGUACUGACAUGUAUCGGAGAUUAAUAGGGAACCCGGUCGGAAUCCGGGACAACCGCCAUUACUGUAUUUGGCGCAGAGUGCAUACUGAAGAGUGCAUCCUGCGGUCUGCUUGUCCAUUGGCAUGUAUGUGCUGAGAAGGAAGCAGCGUAAACCAUAAGUCAGGAGACCUGCCGUACGCCACGUAUCAAUC
rnacentral:ncRNA from 23 species